GGCAAUUAUAGAGCAGAAGGUGGAAAGAAGGAGGGGGGGCCAGAAAAAAAAAAAAAAAAAAAAGACGAUGUCUGCGAUCCAACCCUCCGCCCCCGGGCCCGGCGGCGGGGGCCGGCCAGUGAAUCAUGCUUGUCACCUUUGAGCUUUACUCAGCUUCCUCUGGAGAGUACAGUAGAUCUCGCAUAAUUCCAAGGAAGAGCUCAUGUUGUUCAAAAGUUCAAGCUAGAAGUUAAAAGACUGCGUGCCGAGACUUCAUCAUCCGGCCCAAGAGAGCGCUGCACUUGAUGGGCAAAUCCUGGGAGACUGCCAGCACGGAGGCAAGAGGCAGG